rnacentral:rRNA from 1 species
UACGGAGGGUGCAAGCAUUAAUCGGAUUUACUGGGCGUAAAGGGCGCGUAGGCGGAUUUAUAAGUCAGAUGUGAAAUUUCGGUGCUCAACACCGAAGCUGCAUUUGAAACUGUGAGUCUUGAGGAUAGGCGGAGAAAAUGGAAUUCCAUGUGUAGCGGUGAAAUGCGUAGAUAUAUGGAAGAACACCGGUGGCGAAAGCGAUUUUCUAGCUUAGACCUGACGCUGAGGCGCGAGAGCAAGGGUAGCAAACAGG